rnacentral:rRNA from 1 species
AGAGUUUGAUCAUGGCUCAGGACGAACGCUGGCGGCGUGCUUAACACAUGCAAGUCGAACGGUGACGAGGAGCUUGCUCCUCUGAUCAGUGGCGAACGGGUGAGUAACACGUGAGYAACCURCCCUUGACUCYGGGAUAAGCGUUGGAAACGRCKUCUAAUACCGGAUACGAGCUUCAGCSGCAUKGCUAGGAGCUGGAAAGAAUUUCGGUCARGGAUGGRCUCGCGGCCUAUCAGCUAGUUGGUGAGGUAAYGGCYCACCAAGGCGACGACGGGUAGCCGGCCUGAGAGGGUGACCGGCCACACUGGGACUGAGACACGGCCCAGACUCCUACGGGAGGCAGCAGUGGGGAAUAUUGCACAAUGGGCGMAAGCCUGAUGCAGCAACGCCGCGUGAGGGACGACGGCCUUCGGGUUGUAAACCUCUUUUAGUAGGGAAGAAGCGAAAGUGACGGUACCUGCAGAAAAAGCACCGGCUAACUACGUGCCAGCAGCCGCGGUAAUA